AAAAAAAAAUACAUUUCUGCUGCAUAAAAUUUUGGGAAACAGGUAAAAAUCACUGUUAUCCACACAGACAAGCUGUUUCAGCUUGAGGAGUCAUUCAUCUUUGCAACAAAAGUUUUGGGGGAAAGUGUGUAAAGAUUUAAAUUUAAGGUAUGUUAGCACUAAAACAUGGAGCAAAACCCAUGCUAAAUGGGUUUUAUUGUGUAUUUUCCAGGCACAUAGUGCCAUUUUAUAGCACAAUCAAAUAACUGUUACCAUCAAUUGUAAAAAUGCUCUAUCAAACAUAACUUAAAAGAAACUUGACUUCACUAUCCAACACCUGGAAAUUUGCCUCUGUCUCUUUAAGAAGCUCCUGGUCUUUUUGACAUCUUUCAAUACGUCAUCACAACAAUGUUCGUCUGUUAUAACAUUUAUAGCCAUUCUUAGGAGUGUUGUACUGAAAAUUAGUUUGUACGAUGAGCUCAGCUGAGUUCAGUUCCACCAGGUUUUCACUUAUUACUGCUACCACUAGUCUGGAGGAGCUGUGUGGGGAAAGCACAGCUGGGGACUACAGCUCCGAGGAAAUUCAGAGAUUCAACAAUUUCUCAAAUAUGCACAAAGAAUCAACGCAACACUCCAGGUAUUUUUGAUGAGGCAAUAAGAUUAUAACAUAAUAUAAAGCUCAAAAAAGUCGAUUUCACAUAAUAUCACCCUGCUUCAAAAUAGAUAAAGCUAAUCAGGAGAAUAUUAUUUGCUCGGAAGAGAUAGGUUUGGGCAGUGAAGGGCUAAAAUGUAAGGAAGAUACAUUUUAUUCAAAAUGUUAUUCAAGUGUUGCAGAGUGCACACAAUUUUUCUUCAGAUUUGUGGGGUAGAAAUCCCAAAAUUCAAUGACAAAGAAAAAUGGCUGUAUUGUUGUGAUAGUUUUCCUCCCCUCACUUCUCAAACUUCUUCUAUACAACUCUAUUAUGACAGUUGGCUUGAAGGAAUUCAAAACAAGAGCGCCUCCAGUCUUCCCCAUGGGCAGCCAACCUUCAUAACACACACUCAAAUUUGUGCCUGCAUAAGCUCUUAUAUAUACAGAUGCACACACACACAGACAUGCUAUCGUCACAUAGACCUGCAAAAUAACAGGCACAAGCAUAGCUUAGCCCCCACCUCUUGUGUUUUCAUAACAGGGUAUAAAGGUUAGGUCUGAUUCCGCUUGUUUAAAGUGCACACACGCUUACGGACACCGCUGCCGAAGUGGAGAAAAAUAAAAAAAAGUCCUAAUGCUUCCCUUAACUGCUGGCAGGUGCAAGAGGGUAGAUGCUUGGAUUCAGGGGCUGAUUGGCUAGAAAACCCCCAGGCUAGGGCCAAACAUCACCAUGAAGAUCAAAUGGAGCAUGCUACUCAAAAAGAAACAUGUGGAGAUGCCAGCCAGGUCUGAUUCAGCCUGAAGCUAGCUCCCAGGUUGUACAACACACAAAAACCAUACAUACACACACUACAUGCAGCAUGGAGACAGAAAAAACUGUUUCAGCAAUUAAACUCACAUUAGUGUUAUUGGGUUUUAUCCACUACUUUUCACUAAAAAGUUUAGAAAUUACAUCCAGAAUAUAGUGUCUUAGAAUAUCACUUACCAUUUGCACAUUUUGUUACAUUGCAACCACAAAUGCUGGCAUAUUUUUUGGGGAUUUAAUGCUUCAAAAAGUAUUGAAACUCUGUAUGAAUAAGAACUUUUAAAGUUAUUCUAAAUACAUAAUAUAUUUCAGUGAAAUUUGUGAUCAUACCAUGGGAAAAUGUGCAACAGUUCAAGAGGUGGGCAUAGUUUUCCAAGGCGCUGCAGUUACAAAAAGGAGAUGAAUGGAUACAGUACAGGAAGCAGUUUGACAUUGAAUUACUGCAGCAGAGGUCAGGAGAACAGAUGGGCAGAGAGAUUUACCUCCCAGUUUUCCACCAGCACAGCUUUAACAUAAAACUGCAGUGCUGCUGACUAAAUAUAAACAAAUCCACCAUUUGUCAUGACAUAUCUUUACAUUUAGAGUUAGAGCCGAGUUAUCCAUGUAUAAAUAAAACUGGUAUCAAACUGAUUUGAGUAAAUUUUGAUAAACGUCUUCCUGCCUAAAAGGAGAAAUGUUAGGAAUAAUUUUAAAAAAGAUGAGCAGCGUAGACUGGUGUGGGAGUGGUGAGUCCCACAGGACAAGACGCUGUUAUGCAUGCUGGUGGCAUUUGUAUACGGUUCAAACAAUUUAUGUGUGGACGAAUGGGGGAGCGCUCUGAAUACCUGCGUUUGUAACUGGAGCAUGUAGUGUGUGUUUGACUGCAUAAGUGUCUGCAAAUUUCAGUGUCAGCAUCUGUGUGUGUUCAACAGGGGAACUGUGUGUAAGCACGUGUGUGAAGGUCACUGUGCGUGUGUGUGUGUGUAUGUGUUUGUCAUUGUGCUCAUGUGAUACACUCUGUAAAUAGCAAUGGACCGCAAAAGAGAGCGGACACCGCGGCUGUUCCCUGUGGUAUGAUAGUAAUACAACACAUGCACCCAAUCACCUAGAGUAAUAUUGGAACAAACAGACAAAAGAAGGAGAACAAAUACAAGAUUGUGUUGGAACUAUCUAGAG